rnacentral:rRNA from 1 species
ACGGAAGGCAGCAGUGGGGAAUAUUGCACAAUGGGCGAAAGCCUGAUGCAGCGACGCCGCGUGAGUGAAGAAGUAUCUCGGUAUGUAAAGCUCUAUCAGCAGGGAAGAAAAUGACGGUACCUGACUAAGAAGCCCCGGCUAACUACGUGCCAGCAGCCGCGGUAAUACGUAGGGGGCAAGCGUUAUCCGGAUUUACUGGGUGUAAAGGGAGCGUAGACGGUUUGGCAAGUCUGAAGUGAAAUGCGGGGGCUCAUCUCCUGAACUGCUUUGGAAACUGUCGAACUAGAGUGCAGGAGAGGUAAGUGGAAUUCCUAGUGUAGCGGUGAAAUGCGUAGAUAUUAGGAGGAACACCAGUGGCGAAGGCGGCUUACUGGACUGUAACUGACGUUGAGGCUCGAAAGCGUGGGGAGCAAACAGGAUUAGAUACCCUGGUA